GGCAUGCCUGUUCGAGCGUCAUCAAAACCCUCAUGCUUGGAUUUAUUCACAGCGUGGUCUUGGAGUUGGAGUCACCUUGAGUGUCCCCGUUCCGAAAUACAAUGGCGAAGUUAUUUGUAUCAACAAGCGUAGUAAUCAACAUUAUGUUUCGCUAUUAUACAAGUGGUCUUCCGCCCUCAACCCCCAAAUCUAUCAUUUUGACCUCGGAUCAGGUAGGGAUACCCGCUGAACUUAAGCAUAUCAAUAAGCGGAGGAAAAGAAACCAACAGGGAUUGCCUUAGUAACUGCGAGUGAAGCGGCAAAAGCUCAAAUUUGAAAUCUGGCACCUUCGGUGUCCGAGUUGUAAUUUGGAGAGACAUCUUCGGGAUGAACGCUGUCCUAAGUUCCUUGGAACAGGACGUCACAGAGGGUGAGAAUCCCGUAUGUGGAUGGCUGUUUCGUUCCAUGUGAAGUGUCUUCGACGAGUCGAGUUGUUUGGGAAUGCAGCUCAAAAUGGGUGGUAAAUGUCAUCUAAAGCUAAAUAUUGGCGAGAGACCGAUAGCGCACAAGUAGAGUGAUCGAAAGAUGAAAAGCACUUUGAAAAGAGAGUUAAAAAGUACGUGAAAUUGUUGAAAGGGAAGCGCUUGAG
rnacentral:rRNA from 1 species